rnacentral:ncRNA from 1 species
GUAAAAGCGAUGAAAAGAACGAGUAGUGUUGAUGGAACUUACAGAAAGCGGCCGGUUGCUGAGAGGCGCAAGGAAAGUCAGCAUGAAUACAUCUUGGAGCUGCGUACCGAAACAUAAAGUAGGCUACGCCGGGGUUGCAUCCGUCAUCCAUGCAGGAGGUAUCGCAUUUUGCCGUACCGAAUGAGGAGAGUUAUGUGAGUAGCUCUCGAAUAAAGGUGGUAACACGUUCCUACACGUCCUUUAG